UACGUAGGCAGCGAGCGUUGUUCGGAGUUACUGGGCGUAAAGGGUGUGUAGGCGGUUGUUUAAGUUUGGUGUGAAAUCUCCCGGCUCAACUGGGAGGGUGCGGCCGAAUACUGAAUGACUAGAGUGCGGGAGAGGAAAGUUGGAAUUCCUGGUGUAGCGGUGAAAUGCGUAGAUAUCAGGAGGAACACCGGUGGUGUAGACGGCUUUCUGGACCGUAACUGACGCUGAGACACGAAGCGUGGGUAGCAAACAGG
rnacentral:rRNA from 1 species